UACGUAGGGCGCGAGCGUUGUCCGGAAUUACUGGGCGUAAAGAGCUCGUAGGUGGUUUGUCGCGUUGUUCGUGAAAUCUCACGGCUUAACUGUGAGCGUGCGGGCGAUACGGGCAGACUAGAGUACUGCAGGGGAGACUGGAAUUCCUGGUGUAGCGGUGGAAUGCGCAGAUAUCAGGAGGAACACCGGUGGCGAAGGCGGGUCUCUGGGUAGUAACUGACGCUGAGGAACGAAAGCGUGGGUAGCGAACAGG
rnacentral:rRNA from 1 species